rnacentral:lncRNA from 1 species
CUAUCCUCCGUCAUCUGGAAUCGGGCGUUUCCUCUCCUGACUCUGUCCAAGCACUAUCACCCGCUCACGGACUGAUACAGCUCCUCACUCAACCCACAAUGCCUGCUCAAUCGACACAUCCAAGGUCCGCAAUCUCUGCGCCUGUACCAACACAAAAAUCUCUAGCCUCAUCCCUGGCUACAAACGGCACACAGUUCAGAAGCUUCGUAAACUCCUGAGUCUACUAUAAAUUAC